UACGUAGGGUGCAAGCGUUAAUCGGAAUUACUGGGCGUAAAGCGUGCGUAGGCGGUUAUCUAAGUCGGGUGUGAAAUCCCCGGGCUCAACCUGGGAAUUGCAUUCGAUACUGGAUAGCUAGAGUUCGGCAGAGGGAAGUGGAAUUUCAGGUGUAGCGGUGAAAUGCGUAGAUAUCUGAAGGAACAUCAGUGGCGAAAGCGACUUCCUGGACCAGAACUGACGCUCAGGCACGAAAGCGUGGGGAGCAAACAGG
rnacentral:rRNA from 1 species